GAUGAACGCUGGCGGCGUGCCUAAUACAUGCAAGUCGAGCGAACAGACGAGGAGCUUGCUCCUCUGACGUUAGCGGCGGACGGGUGAGUAACACGUGGAAACCUACCUAUAAGACUGGGAUAACUUCGGGAAACCGGAGCUAAUACCGGAUAAUACAUUUAACCGCAUGGUUCAAUUGUGAAAGACGGGUUUGCUGGCACUUAUAGAUGGAUCCGCGCCGUAUUUGUUAGUUGGUAAGGUAACGGCUUACCAAGGCGACGAUGCGUAGCCGACCGGAGAGGGGGAUCGGCCACACUGGAACUGAGACACGGUCCAGACUCCUACGGGAGGCAGCAGUAGGGAAUCUUCCGCAAUGGGCGAAAGCCUGACGGAGCAACGCCGCGUGAGUGAUGAAGGUCUUCGGAUCGUAAAACUCUGUUAUGAGGGAAGAACAAAUGUGUAAGUAACUAUGCACGUCUUGACGGUACCUAAUCAGAAAGCCACGGCUAACUACGUG
rnacentral:rRNA from 1 species